AUAAUGUUCAUGCCACUUAUGUACACAAACAUUUUCACAUACAACUGUAUAUAAUAUAUAUAUAUAUAUAUAUAUAAUAUAUUUAUUUUAUUUAUACAGAACACUGGAAAAAUAUAAAAAAUGCUCACAGUUUUUGGAAUAUCAACAAUUUCAACAAAGAUAAAUUAGCUUUUAUCUGGAUUCACAAAAUACUAUAUAUGAUAAAUACACAAACGAAAUAUGCAACGUUUCGUUAGAUUCAAUUGCACCCCCACAAUUUUUAUACUAUUUGGAUAACCCGAUAAACGUAAAAAGCACAUUCAAUGCUUGUAUGUCUAUGGCAUUAGACGAAAUAAUUCAAGAAAUAGAAAAUAAAAAAAACUUAGAUGAAUUUGAUGAAAAACAAAAAAAUACUUUAUUAAUUAUUAAAGAAAAAGCAAAUAAAAAGUAUUUUUCCUCCAUACGAAAAAUGGAAAAAAUACUAUCAAAAUUUUUAAAUGAAAAUAAGAAAAUGUCCUUUGAUUUUUUCCUAAGGGGAUGUGAAAGCUAUGGACAUGUACUAAUGAAAUGUAAAGAAAAAUUAUUUGUAACGUUUAACAAAACAUACGGCUUACAUUUUAAAAACUUCGAAGAUUUUUGGCUUCAUGAAGAAGAAAAAAGGAAAGAAAAAUGGAAAGAACUAUGGAUAUUAAAUGAAAUAGAAAAAAAAAAUGUGUCACUUCAUAAAAAUGGUGAUGACUUAAAUACUGCAUCAAAUAAUUAUUACAAUGAAAAUAACAAUAAUAAUAAUAAUAAUAACACUAGUAACAGUAAUAACAAUUGUGACCUUAGCAACAAUAACACAAAUAAUAUUUUUAAUAAAAACACAAAUGAAGACGACAUACACGACAAAAAAAAACUUUCGCAUAAGACUUUCA
rnacentral:lncRNA from 1 species